CUGAUUCUAUCAAAGCCUCACCAAGAUGAAGCUGCCAGGCCAGGAGGAGUUUGAAGCUUCUAGUGCUCAUGAAAAUGUUCCUGCAGGGGAGGUGGACAGUGGCCUUGGCCCUGGCCUCAGCCCUGAUGGCCCUUCAGUCACAGACAGCAGGGACCUAGGGGUACAGGAGGACCCGCUGCUCUUUAUUCAGCUUAAUGAAAUGCUGGGUUGGCCCCAGGCACUGGAAUGGAGAGAGACAAGCAGGUGGGUACUAUUUGAGGAGAAGUUGGAGGUGGGCGCAGGCCGGUGGAGUGCCCCCCACGUGCCUACUGUGACUCUGGCCAGCAUCCAGAAGCUCCGCAGCCUGUUAGCUGAGGGCCUGGUGCUGCUGGACUGUCCAGCUCAGAGCCUCCUGGAGCUUGUGGAGCAGGUUACCAGGGUGGAGUCGCUGAGCCCAGAGCUGAGAGGGCAGCUGCAGGCCAUACUGCUGCAGAGACCCCAGCACUAUAUCCAGACCAGAGACACCAGGCCCUGCUGGGGUGAGAGGCUCCCCUCUGGGCCCAAGACCAAGACCCUGGAGUGGGAGGGUCCCAGAUCUCUCCUAUACCUUCCUGGACCUGAAGUGGCCCAGCUUCAGCUCAGGCCUCAAUCUAGGACUGAUGGACAAGAGGAAGUUGGUGGCUCUAUCCAUCGAAGAAAGGCUUCUUAUAGUGAGGAAGCUCCCUUGAAGGAACAGCAUCAGAAUCCCCUGAGACACAGGCUGCCUCCAGGGGCCGAGGCAGGGAAUGUGCUGGCUGGAGAGCUGGGCUUCUUGACACAACCACUGGGGGCCUUUGUUCGACUACGGGAUCCAGUGGUGCUGGGACCCCUUACUGAGGUGCCCCUCCCCAGCAGGUUUUUCUGUCUUCUUCUGGGCCCACCUACAUUGGCAAAGUGCUACCAUGAGAUGGGCCGGGCAGCAGCUGUCCUCCUCAGUGAUCCGCAAUUCCAGUGGUCACUUCGCCGGGCCAACAACCUUCAUGACCUUCUGGCAGCCCUAGAUACUUUCCUAGAGGAGGUAACAGUGCUCCCUCCAGGUCGGUGGGACCCGACAACACGGAUUCCUCCACCCAAAUGUUUGCCCUCUCAGCACAAAAGGCUCCUCAAUCAAACGUGUGAGAGCAAGGGCUUCGCCGCCCCGCACCUGACUCUGGCUGAGGACAGGCACCGCCACGGGCCUCACGCACUCAGCCCGGAGCUUCAGCGGACUGGCAGGCUGUUUGGGGGCCUUGUACAGGACGUGCUCAGGAAGGCUUCGUGGUACCCCAGCGAUUUCUUGGAUGCCCUGCACCCCCAGUGCUUCUCGGCUGUGCUCUACAUUUACCUGGCCACCAUCACUAACGCCAUCACUUUUGGUGGUUUGCUGGGAGAUGCCACCAACGGUGCCCAGGGAGUGCUGGAAAGUUUCCUGGGCACAGCAGUGGCUGGAGCUGCCUUCUGCUUGAUGGCAGGCCAGCCACUCACCAUCCUGAGCAGCACAGGCCCAGUGCUGGUCUUUGAACGCCUGCUCUUCACCUUCAGCAGAGAUUACAGCCUGGACUAUCUGCCUUUCCGCCUGUGGGUUGGCAUCUGGGUGGCUACCUUUUGCCUGGUGCUAGUGGCCACAGAGGCCAGUGUGCUGGUGCGCUACUUCACCCGAUUCACUGAGGAAGGUUUCUGUGCCCUCAUCAGCCUCAUCUUCAUCUAUGAUGCUGUAGGCAAAAUGCUGAAUUUGGCCCAGGCCUAUCCUAUCCAGAGGCCUAGGUCCCCUGCCUAUGGCUGCCUCUGCCAAUACCCAGGCCCAGGAGGAAAUGAGUCUCAAUGGACAAGGACAAGGCCAAAAGAUAGAGAUGAUAUGUUAAUCACGGACCUAGGCCUGAUCAAUGCAUCCUUGCUGCCUCCACCUGAGUGCAUCCGGCUGGGAGGCCGCCCUCAUGGCCCGGGCUGUCAUACAGUCCCAGACAUCACCUUCUUCUCCCUCCUCCUCUUCCUUACCUCCUUCCUCUUUGCCAUGGCCCUCAAGCAUGUAAAGACAAGCCGCUUCUUCCCCUCUGUGGUACGCAAGGUACUCAGUGACUUCUCCUCAGUCCUGGCCAUCCUGCUGGGCUGUGGUCUUGAUGCCUUCCUGGGCCUAGCCACACCAAAGCUCAUGGUACCCAGAGAAUUCAAGCCCACGCUUCCUGGGCGUGGCUGGCUGGUGUCACCUUUUGGAGCCAACCCAUGGUGGUUGAGUGUGGCAGCUGCCCUUCCUGCCUUGCUGCUAUCUAUCCUCAUCUUCAUGGACCAGCAGAUCACAGCAGUAAUCCUCAACCGUGUGGAAUAUAGACUGCGGAAGGGAGCUGGCUUCCAUCUGGAUCUCUUCUGUGUGGCUAUGUUGAUGCUGCUCACAUCAGUGCUUGGGCUGCCCUGGUAUGUCUCAGCCACUGUCAUCUCCCUGGCCCACAUGGAUAGUCUUCGGAGAGAAAGCAGAGCCUAUGCUCCUGGGGAGUCCCCUAGCUUCCUGGGCAUCAGAGAGCAGAGGCUGACCGGCUUGGUGGUGUUCAUUCUUACAGGAGUCUCUAUCUUUCUGGCACCUGUGCUCAAGCUCUCCACAUCUUUCUACCAGUUCAUCCCAAUGCCUGUGCUCUACGGCAUCUUCUUGUACAUGGGGGUGGCAGCAUUGAACAGUAUCCAGUUCAUGAAGAGAGUGCAGCUAUUGCUGAUGCCAGCAAAACAUCAGCCAGACCUGCUGCUCUUGCGGCAUGUACCCCUGAGCAGGGUCCACCUCUUCACAGCCAUCCAGCUUUCCUGCCUGGGUCUGCUUUGGAUAAUCAAGUCUACCCCUGCAGCCAUCAUCUUCCCCCUCAUGUUGUUGGGCCUGGUGGGAAUCCGAAAGGCAUUAGAAUGGAUCUUCUCACCACAGGAACUUGUCUGGCUAGAUGAGCUGAUGGCAGAGGAGGAAAGAAGCAAGCCUGAGAAAGGGGUGGAGCCAAAGUACCCAUUCAGUGACAGUGAUGGUGAAAAUUCAGAGCUAAUCUAUCAGCCAAAGGCUCCGGAAAUCAACAUCUCUGUGAAUUAGCUGAAGUAAGAGUCUGGGAAUGGAGGCCUCAGAAAACUGAGCAUGAGGUGUUUACUCAGGAAGUCAGGACAUUGUUGGCCUUGGGCUUAACUACCUGGGGACCUGGAACAAUCUGGAACAAUGGAGCAGGACAGAAGAGCAGCUGGCCAAGAUCUCAGUUACCUCCUGAGCUGGACAUAGAAAGUGGCAAGGAGAAAUAGAUCCCAUCCAGGAUACCAUAUUACAUUUAGCCUUUUACACAUCUUCCUGGGCUCCUCUUGGCUGUGACAGUUUUUUAGACUUUCCUUGUCUGAAAACAUUUAUAAUUUUGAGAAGCACUGAUCAGAGACAGAGUCUCACUUUACCGCCCUCAGUAGAGUGCCAUGACGUCACAGGACUCACAGCAACCUCCAGCUCUUGGGCUUCCACGAUUCUCCUGCCUCAGCCUCCCGAGCAGCUGGGACUACAGGCGCCCGCCACAACGCCCGGCUAUUUUUUUGUUGCAGUUUGGCCCGGGCUGGAUUUGAACCCGCCACACUUGGUAUAUGGGGCCGGCGCCCUACUCACUGAGCCACUCUCUUAAAUCGGAGAAUGAUGUUAAAAAUUAAGAUGUGAGUGCUAGGUGUGUGUGUUGCUACUGGGGUGCAAUUUUGUUUCUAGUAUCACAUAGCUGAGAGAGCAAGGAAAUAUAUGUGAGCAUACUAACCUAUGUAUAUACACUGUAUCUAUGCAUAUUUCUACAUGUAUCCACUUGUAUCUAUAUUUAGCUAAACAUGAGCUCAUACUUAUGUCUCCAACUCUAAUCCCUUACCACAUGGAUCAUUUCCAGCUUCCUCACUUUGCUUUGCUGUAAUCUCCCACUCAGUGAGAAUUGAGGUUCCUGCCACCUGCCAUCCAUUUACAUAGUUGUUCAAUUGCAACAUAUAUAUAUAUAGUGGCUUCAGAAUUAAUGUAAAUUCCCAUGGGAAACAACUAGAGUACAGUGCUUCUGUUGUCUUUUCUUUCUUUCUUUUUUUUUUUUUUGAGACAGCAUCUCACUUUGUCACCCUGAGUAGAGAGCCGUACCAUCAUAGCUCACAGCAACCUCAAACUCCUGGGCUCAAGUGACCCUCUUGCCUCAGUCUUCCAGGUAGCUAGGACUACAGGUGUGUCACCAUGCCUGGCUAAUUUUGCUAUUUUUGGUAGAGAUGGGGUCUCACUCUUGCUCAGACUGGUCUCAAACUCUUGAGUUCAAGCAAUCCACUUGCCUCAGCCUCCCAGAGUGUUAGGAUGGGCCACUAUGCCUGGCUUGUUUCUUUUGUCUUUAGUCUAACAGCAACUACUCAUUUCCAAAGUUAUGUAGGUCAGUACCUUUCUCCCCUAU